GAUGAACGCUCGCUACAGGCUUAACACAUGCAAGUCGAGGGGCAGCAUGGUCUUAGCUUGCUAAGGCCGAUGGCGACCGGCGCACGGGUGAGUAACACGUAUCCAACCUGCCGUCUACUCUUGGACAGCCUUCUGAAAGGAAGAUUAAUACAAGAUGGCAUCAUGAGUCCGCAUGUUCACAUGAUUAAAGGUAUUCCGGUAGACGAUGGGGAUGCGUUCCAUUAGAUAGUAGGCGGGGUAACGGCCCACCUAGUCUUCGAUGGAUAGGGGUUCUGAGAGGAAGGUCCCCCACAUUGGAACUGAGACACGGUCCAAACUCCUACGGGAGGCAGCAGUGAGGAAUAUUGGUCAAUGGGCGCAGGCCUGAACCAGCCAAGUAGCGUGAAGGAUGACUGCCCUAUGGGUUGUAAACUUCUUUUAUAAAGGAAUAAAGUCGGGUAUGGAUACCCGUUUGCAUGUACUUUAUGAAUAAGGAUCGGCUAACUCCGUG
rnacentral:rRNA from 1 species